ACGGGUGAGUAAUGCCUAGGAAUCUGCCUGGUAGUGGGGGAUAACGUUCGGAAACGGACGCUAAUACCGCAUACGUCCUACGGGAGAAAGCAGGGGACCUUCGGGCCUUGCGCUAUCAGAUGAGCCUAGGUCGGAUUAGCUAGUUGGUGAGGUAAUGGCUCACCAAGGCGACGAUCCGUAACUGGUCUGAGAGGAUGAUCAGUCACACUGGAACUGAGACACGGUCCAGACUCCUACGGGAGGCAGCAGUGGGGAAUAUUGGACAAUGGGCGAAAGCCUGAUCCCUCCAUGCCGCGUGUGUGAAGAAGGUCUUCGGAUUGUAAAGCACUUUAAGUUGGGAGGAAGGGUUGUAGAUUAAUACUCUGCAAUUUUGACGUUACCGACAGAAUAAGCACCGGCUAACUCUGUGCCAGCAGCCGCGGUAAUACAGAGGGUGCAAGCGUUAAUCGGAAUUACUGGGCGUAAAGCGCGCGUAGGUGGUUUGUUAAGUUGGAUGUGAAAUCCCCGGGCUCAACCUGGGAACUGCAUUCAAAACUGACUGACUAGAGUAUGGUAGAGGGUGGUGGAAUUUCCUGUGUAGCGG
rnacentral:rRNA from 1 species